AUUACUCGACUUGAAGGCAACACUGAGUUGCUUAAUGCCUGGAUCCGCAACAACAACAUCGUCAUCUCUUUGAUUCUUAAUUCCGUAACAAAGGAAAUUUCAGCUAGCAUCAUCUAUUAGGAAUCUGCUCAUGAGAUUUGGAGAGAUCUCAAGGAGAGAUUUUAGCAGAGGAAUGGUCCUCGAAUCUUCCAAUUAAGGCGUGAAUUGAUGAAUUUGACACAAGGACAAUCAUCCGUUAGUGCUUAUUUUACCAAAUUGAAAUCAAUUUGGGAAGAAUUAAGCAAUUACAAGCCGUCAUGUACCUGUGGAAAAUGCGAAUGUUGUGGCAACAAAAGGUUGGUAGAUCAUUAUCACAUGGAGUAUGUCAUGUCAUUCCUAAUGGGAUUGAAAGACUCUUAUGCACAGGUCAGGGGGCAGUUGCUGCUCAUGGAUCCAAUUCCAUCGAUAAAUAGGGUGUUUUCACUCAUUUCACAGGAAGAACAUCAGAGAGCUAUUAACCUGAAUGUUGGAUCUGCUGGUUCCUUAGCCUUUUAUGCUAGAAAUGAAGUGAAGAGGACAGGUAUGGGGCAGCCAUCUCAUGGCAGGAAUCAAAAGGAGAGACCAACUUGUACAUAUUGUGGAUAUGAAGGAAAUGUGAUUGAUAGAUGUUAUAAACUCCAUGGAUAUCCACCUGGAUACAAGCCAAAGCAGAAACCUGGUUCACACAAUUACACAGGUUUUAAUCCCCACUCAAAUAAUAAUGUUGUCAAUCAAA
rnacentral:lncRNA from 1 species